CUUUUGGGUAGGGGUAAGACUGCCUACAUAUUACCCUCCCCAGACCCCACCUGGUGGGAGUAUACUGGGUAGUUGUUGUUGUUGUUGUCUGGUACAAAGAGCCUCAACUCAUGAUAUCCGAUUCCAAUUUUUAAAGAAAGCUAAAGACAAUCUCUAGUUUACAACCUACUGUCAAAUUUGCAGCAGAUUUUGACAUAACCAAAGUGAAUCUAAAAAUGACUUCUAAGUAAAAUCACUACACACUAAAUCAUGAUUUUUAAUCAGAAGAGUAGCUCAUAUUAUAUUAAUAACAAAACGGAAAUAAAUACAUUAGACUUUAGAAGGGACUUACGGGUGUUCAUCGGGCGGAUUGGGCGGUUUUUACUCUUAACGGUUUGGCUUAAUGGUUAUCGGCUUUUAAAUGUAUUAAUCCGUUAGCCAUCCGAUA
rnacentral:lncRNA from 1 species